rnacentral:lncRNA from 1 species
GGGAGGAGAUAAGAUGCGGGAGGAGGGAUUCGCUGUGGCUAAAAAAAGUUUUUUUUUAUGGGUCCACCACAACUAGCUCCAAUUAGCACCUCAUCUCAGGGAUAGUUUUUUAGGUGGGUUAGUUUCCAUCUAACCCAAACUAACACAUGUGUUUGGAUGCUUUGAGGGUUAGUUCAGCUCCAACUAGCUCAAACUAGCUCUAGCACCGGGGUCAAACAGGGCCGAUGAAACCAAGCCCACUAAAACUCCAACCGUGCGACGCAUUUUGUCCGUGUUUUAUUUAUUUAGAUUGACAAAUUUGCUUUAUUUUUUGUUUGGAUUGAUCGUACGUACAGCGUGUCAAUUGAUUUUUCAUCUGGACGACAGAUUUGUGGUUAUUUUUUAAUUUUUUUGUUACAUAUGUUUAAAUAAAAAUACAAAUACACAUUAAAUUAUCUUAAAUACAUUUAAAAGAUCAAUAAAAAUAUAAAUAUUGCUUGCGACACUUUUUUUGAGACAGAGGAAAUACACAUUAAAUUGUCUCAAACACAUUUAAAAGGGGAGGUUGCCGAUACAUAUAUUGGUUGUCGGCAUGAGUCCAUAUAUGGUCAACCAAAUCAUUUUGCAGUUACAUGUGAGUUUUUUAACCACGCAUCUUAUGAUAAAACUUGACGAACUGUGCAAAUGUUGUCCUUUCUACAUGCUCAUGCACAACAUUUUCAUCCUAAAACUGAAAACCUUGAUCACACAGACGUUCUAGUCGCACAUCCACACAAGCUGCCAUCACCUCCCACAACAUUUUGAUGCUCUAAGUUCUAGCGGGAUACUAAACGAUGCCCCAUCAAGAUUGAAGAACGCCAAAAGCACACUCUAAAUUUUUGCGAACACUCUCUUGCUGUUGGGAAAAUCUUUUUCUAUUCUCUCUUUCAGGGUUGGAAAUUGUCUUCACAAGAGUAGAUCACUGUGGAUAGAUAUCGUUAGCUAGAUAGUAUCCAUUCGUGUAUUGGUGGC